rnacentral:rRNA from 1 species
AACGAACGCUGGCGGCGCGCCUAAUACAUGCAAGUCGAGCGAGAAGACGUAGCAAUACGUUUGUAAAGCGGCGAACGGGUGAGGAAUACAUGGGUAACCUACCCUCGAGUGGGGAAUAACUAGCCGAAAGGUUAGCUAAUACCGCGUACGCUCCUUGGACUUCGGUUCAGGGAGGAAAGCGAUACCGUGGGUAUCGCGCUCUUGGAUGGGCUCAUGUCCUAUCAGCUUGUUGGUGAGGAACGGCUCACCAAGGCUUCGACGGGUAGCUGGUCUGAGAGGACAAUCAGCCACACUGGCACUGCGACACGGGCCAGACUCCUACGGGAGGCAGCAGUGGGGAAUAUUGGACAAUGGGCGCAAGCCUGAUCCAGCCAUGCCGCGUGAGUGAUGAAGGCC